rnacentral:rRNA from 1 species
UACGUAGGGGGCAAGCGUUGUCCGGAUUUAUUGGGCGUAAAGAGCGUGUAGGCGGUUUGGUAGGUCCGUUGUGAAAACUCGAGGCUCAACCUCGAGACGCCGGCGGAAACCAUCAGGCUAGAGUCCGGAAGAGGAGAGUGGAAUUCCUGGUGUAGCGGUGAAUGCGCAGAUAUCAGGAAGAACACCCGUGGCUAAGGCGGCUCUCUAGUACGGUACUGACGCUGAGACGCGAAAGCGUGGGAGCGAACAGG